AUGACCAUGGCGAAACUGGUAGACGCGGUGAACUUAGGAUUCCCUCUCUGUGGGUUCGACUCCCACUGGUCAUA
rnacentral:tRNA from 1 species